rnacentral:rRNA from 1 species
CACGUAGGGGGCGAGCGUUGUCCGGAAUCAUUGGGCGUAAAGAGCUCGUAGGCGGCUCGGUAAGUCGGGUGUGAAACCCCCCAGGCUCAACCUGGGGACGCCACCCGAUACUGCUGUGGCUAGAGUCCGGUAGGGGGAGUGUGGAAUUCCCGGUGUAGCGGUGAAAUGCGCAGAUAUCAGGAAGAACACCAAUGGCGAAAGCAGCUUUCUGGGACGGUACUGACGCUGAGACGCGAAAGCGUGGGGAUCAAACAGG